rnacentral:rRNA from 1 species
UACGUAGGGUGCGAGCGUUGUCCGGAAUUAUUGGGCGUAAAGGGUGCGUAGGCGGCGGAGUAAGUUGGGUGUGAAAUCCCGGGGCUCAACCUCGGAAUUGCAUUCAAUACUGCUUCGCUAGAGUACUGGAGAGGAGGCUGGAAUUUACGGUGUAGCAGUGAAAUGCGUAGAUAUCGUAAGGAAGGCCGGUGGCGAAAGCGAGCCUCUGGACAGUUACUGACGCUGAUGCACGAAGGCCAGGGGAGCAAACGGG